rnacentral:rRNA from 1 species
AGGGCGUAUGAAGUUGCAGGUAUUAGACCCGAAACCGGGUGACCUAUCCAUGAGCAGGCUGAAGCGGUGGUAAGACACCGUGGAGGGCCGCACCCACGUCUGUUGAAAAAGCCGGGGAUGACUUGUGGAUAGCGGAGAAAUUCCAAUCGAACUCGGAGAUAGCUGGUUCUCCCCGAAAUAGCUUUAGGGCUAGCGUUAUUUUAGAUUACCGGAGGUAAAGCACUGAAUGGUCUAGGGGCCGCGAGGUUACCAAAGCCUAUCAAACUCUGAAUGCCGGAUAAUUGAUGAAUAGCAGUCAGACUGUGUGAGAUAAGUCUCAUAGUCAAAAGGGAAACAGCCCAGAUCUACAGCUAAGGUCCCAAAUGAACACUAAGUGGAAAAUGAUGUGAAACUGCGAAGACAACCAGGAUGUUGGCUUAGAAGCAGCCACUCAUUCAAAGAGUGCGUAAUAGCUCACUGGUCGAGUGGUUUUGCGCAGAAAAUGUAACGGGGCUAAGUGUUCAACCGAAGCUUAGGCAUUGCAGUAAUGCAUUGGGUAGGGGAGCGUCGUAUGCGGGGCGAAGUCAGAGCGGAAGCACUGGUGGACUGCAUACGAGUGAGAAUGCCGGAAUAAGUAGCGAGAAUUAUGUGAGAAUCAUAAUGGCCGAAAAUCUAAGGUUUCUUGGGGAAGGUUCGUCCGCCCAAGGUUAGUCGGGAGCUAAGCUCAGGCCGAAAGGCGUAGGCGAUGCACAUACGGUAGAAAUUCCGUAACCACCGAACAUUUAAGCUAGAGGGACGCUUUCUUUAAGGUUAUCCCGGGCGAUGGUUGCCCCGGGCGUAAGGGACCGAAAUAUAGUAGGGAAGUAACUGGCGAGAGAGACGAGAAAAGCUCUAGUGUAUACUAAGGUGCCCGUACCGCAAACCGACACAGGUAGAUGGGAUGAGUAUUCUAAGGCCAACGGGAGAAGGGUUGUUAAGGAACUCGGCAAAUUGGCCCCGUAACUUCGGGAUAAGGGGCGCCUGCGAGAGCAGGCCGCAGUGAAAAGGCCCAAGCGACUGUUUAGCAAAAACACAGCUCUCUGCUAAAUCGAAAGAUGACGUAUAGGGGGUGACGCCUGCCCGGUGCUGGAAGGUUAAGGGGAGUGCUUAGCGCAAGCGAAGGUGCGAACUUAAGCCCCAGUAAACGGCGGCCGUAACUAUAACGGUCCUAAGGUAGCGAAAUUCCUUGUCAGGUAAGUUCUGACCCGCACGAAUGGCGUAACGAUUUGGGUCUCGGUAUUCCAUGUACAGGAUAGGUGGGAGGCUUGGAAGUAAGCGCGCCAGCGUUUAUGGAGCCAACCUUGGGAUACCACUCUUGGGAUAUUGGGAUUCUAACCUGCGACCAUGAAUCUGGUCGGGGGACACUGUCAGGUGGGCAGUUUGACUGGGGCGGUCGCCUCCAAAAGAGUAACGGAGGCGCUCAAAGGUUCGUUCAGCACGGAUGGAAAUCGUGCACUGAGUGUAAACGCAUAAACGAGCCUAACUGCGAGAAUGACGGUUCGAGCAGUAACGAAAGUUGGAGUUAGUGAUCCGGCGGUAUGUGAAUGGAAAUGCCGUCGCUCAACGGAUAAAAGCUACCCUGGGGAUAACAGGCUGAUC